GGGGGUGUAGCUCAGCGGGAGAGCACGUAUUUAGCAUAUAUGAGGUCCCGGGUUCGAGCCCCGGCAUCUCCA